GCUAUAUCUACAGGUUCCAAAUCCAAAUCCAAAUCCAAGCUGGCACAGUUUAUGUGAACCGCAGCCGGAAACAAAAUUUUGAUGCCUACCGUCGUACUGGUCUUACGGGAAGAAGUGAACUGCUGCAGGAAUCGGAACCGGAAGCCCUACCAGGAACCAAACUCUACCCAGGAAACGAACCAUCAGGAAUGGCGGCGUUUGAAUUAAUCGCGAAGACACUAUCAGUGCUGCAGGACGGAACAUAAGCACUGACCAAGAGUUACAAAGGAGUUGAUGUGACCAUUGUGAUUGGAAAGCGUGUAUACCUGUAUACGAGUCGGACGCUCCAUCUGAGAGGCAUCAAGUUAGGGCGUUGGCUGGUUGCCUGCACGUUCAGCCUUCUCCGCUGGAUCCUGUUUUUCCCAUCGACGCCCAUCUUCCUGCUUCUCGUAUUGGUGCUGCUGAGUUUGGUGUUCCGAAGGUGGUGCUUAGGCGAAGAUCGGGCCUCGGAGGGAACCAGGAUCGCCCGUGCAGGACCUCGCUGUCUCACUCGACCUACCAGUGUCGAGGAGGAAGCAUGUUUUACGCUGGCUAGACGCGUCCGCAAUCAUCUGCGUUGCACCAGGCACGACGCCCACCACUGCUUCACAAGGAGGACCGCCGAGGGUGGCGUCAUGACCGAGCCGGUCGCUGCGAGAGUGAUUCAGCGCUGGGUCCGCGCCAGGUUCCAGCCGUGGGUCCGCGGACGGGUGGUUCACAGCGCCAGCCCAUCAAGACCUCAGAGGGCUCCAGGCUGGAUAGACAGGGAUGCCGGUGCCAGAGUCGUCACCCUCGUAGGCCAUAAUGGCACGUCGACCAUCGGACUCCAGCAUCCUGGCGAUGCUUCCUUGGUGGAAACCCACUUGGACUAGCACCUACACCAUGUACGAAGCACCCAUGGCCGACGCCGAUCGCGCGAUCCACAGCUUGCCCAAAUGUUGCGGAGACGCGACGACUUCCUAUUCGCGCAUUCUUUCCGCAGACCAAAUUGAUGGGUGCUUGCUGGAAGAGGCAGCGUCAGUGGUCCAAGUGAUUGCGGCCCCUCUACGAGAAAACUAGCACUGACUUUCAGGGGCUGUAGGACUCACGUCGAUACUUAUGCGUAAGAUGGCACGACAAAACAAAAACGAAAAUUGCACAGCGUUAUAAUAUAACGAGUACGAAGCACGAAACGACCGUCUCGUUGUAGGUUAUAAAAGAAAUAUUGAGAUAGACAACAUGAACCAAUAGGCACGUACUUGAUUUCGCCUCAGCGGUCUCCAUUCGCGUAAAUGAAUGACGAAUAUAAUUGUUCCAGGAAUCAUAAUUCAGGAUGGUUGUUUCGAAUGCUAAUUGUAUUACAAAGCAUUGGUGGCAUUUUAAGAGGGCUAAACAUAAAUUAAAGAACAGCUUUAGGCAGGGCUGAGGCCUGGCACGGAGGAUGGGUUAUGUGCGAUGGUGAAAGCAGACGCUAGCUCUAGUAUGCAAGGCUAAGCAAAUGUGCUUUGUGUUUUGUUGGCCGGGAAAAAAAUGGGCACAGUUGCAUCAGGAACCAAUGAUGCGUGCUCUAUGUGGCGUGUGUGCCCAUGGAAGAUGUUUUUUUUUCACUGCCUAACCCAGCCUGCGUGAU